GGGUGGGCUGUGAUUAGGGUUGAUAGGGGGUUAAGGGUAGGAUGAUUUGAGAUGUUAUGAGUAAGGUGUGAAGAAGAAGUAGAAAGAGGGGAUCCAUGAGGUGGAUCUGGAGGAAUAGAAGGAAUAAAUCUAAUAUCAACCAACUUAUCUGUAAUAUUGUGAAAAACAGUGGUGAUGGCAACAUGUCUAGCAUCAUGCAACUCUUGAUGUUCUCUUAAUUUCUCCAUUAG
rnacentral:lncRNA from 1 species